GUGCUUGCUUCAGUAGCACAUACACUAAAAUUGGAACGAUAAAGAAAAGAUUAGCAUGGCUCUUUCACAAGGAUGACACACAAAUUUGUGAAGUGUUCCAUAUUUUU
rnacentral:snRNA from 1 species